UACGUAGGUGGCGAGCGUUGUCCGGAUUUACUGGGCGUAAAGAGCGCGCAGGCGGCUGGUCAAGUCCGAUGUGAAAGCUCCCGGCUUAACUGGGAAAUUGCAUCGGAAACUGAUCGGCUGGAAGGUGGGAGAGGGUAGCGGAAUUCCCGGUGUAGUGGUGAAAUGCGUAGAUAUCGGGAGGAACACCAGUGGCGAAAGCGGCUACCUGGCCCAUUCUUGACGCUGAGGCGCGAAAGCUAGGGUAGCGAACGGG
rnacentral:rRNA from 1 species